UCAUUAUCCCCACGUAACACAGGGAUUUGUUUUAACAGAAAAAUAUUUAACAGUUGUUGAAUAUAUUUAUUUAUUUAUUUGGAAAGGUCCAGGGUCUGCUCUAUUGUGUCCAUUUAUGUUUUUGACGUCAAAGUAAAUUUUCCACAAAGCCAGCUUUGCAUGUUCAAGUUUUGCUGUUGUAGUUAUCGCCGGAUAGGUCGACAAAUAAGGAAACCUUGACUAGACGGCGAAGUGGAGCAUUUCAUACAAAGACGCCAGAUGAAGUCAAUUAAAAGCCGCACUCGAAAAAUCCAGCAAGCUUGCAAAAAAGUGAGUAAACUGACAGAGUCUACCAAGUUAUCCCCCUGCGUUGAAAAUAAAUCACAAUGAAUACUGAACUCCCUCGACGGAGAAGUGGAGACGAAUGAAUGAGCUGGGAGGGGAUUCGAAGCUUAAUUCAUACUUGAAUCAACCAAAACAAGCAAUGACCGCGCUAGGGGUUGCAAUAGUUGAUAGGACAGAUUUAACCACCAAAGAUGCCGAACUCACCUCCAAAACUCAACAGUUGCUUCCUCUCUUCCAAAAUCCAAUCUUCGGACAAAAAGUACAACUCUGGAGAGGAUUCCCCAAGUCCGAGUGGCUCCGACCCUUCCCCGCUCUGCGAACUAGCGCUUGUAGUAAUGUAGGAGCAUGGACGUGGCUCUAGGUGCACUUUGAAUGGAGCUCUGGAUGGACUUGAGCUCAGUGUCCUCCGGCCACAGGGAGUGUCCGAAGCGGCGUCUCCAGGAUAGUUGAGCUUUCCCUAAUCACCCCCGGCGUGCAAUGGAGGUGGGGGUAGUGUUGCCUUCACGUGUUAUCGGAGACUUGGACACAACCUUUGUGCCCACAUGAUUUGUUUUAUGUCACAGGAGAGACAAACCGUUGUUUUGUAGCAGUCGAAGCGUAUUUUAAGAGCACACCAUAUUCUAAACCUACUUUAACAAACUUUUUGAAUGAAAGAAAACGUCUACAGAAAGUUUGCUGGAAUCAGUCGCAACAUUUCCGCGAUGAUUGGCAAUGCAACAUCACCUGUACUGCAGAAUCCUUGGGUGAAAACCACUCAACCUCCGCCAGAAUAUUGAAGAUGGGUCGUGGAUGGGUCUUCCAGCAUGACGGUGACCUAAAAUAUAAGGCCAGGGCGACAAAGGAGUGGCUCAACAAGAAGCACAUUAAGGUCCUGGAGUGACCUACCCAGCCUCCGGACAUAAAAAAUCUGUGGAGGGAACUCGAGGAAACUUUUGAGUUGCCAAGGGACAGCCUUAAAAACCUUCAGGGUUUUGGAGAGCAUCUGUAACAAGGACUGUACCAACAUCCCUUCUGAGAUAUCCACAACCCCAGAGACCCACUACAACAAACAUCUCAUCUCUGCAAGUGUUUCUCCAUCAGACCCAGGUGAUCUCUAGUUGGGCGGAGCUACAGAACAGGCACAGCUGUGCCUCAUUGUGUGUCACUCCUUUUUUAAGCUCACCUGUGGCGACUGGAUGGCACUCGGUGAUUCCUCGUGGCAGAACCUCCAAGCCAAGAUCCGUGCUGCUGCCGUCGGCCAUCCAGUCCCGCCUGGUUUUUUCCUCACGGCUUUGUGGUAGCUCCGCCUGACCAGCUUUGGUAUAUUUUCCAGUUACA